rnacentral:rRNA from 1 species
UACAGAGGGGUGCAAGCGUUGUUCGGAAUUAUUGGGCGUAAAGCGCGUGUAGGCGGCUUUGCAAGUCGGGUGUGAAAGCCCUCAGCUUAACUGAGGAAGUGCGCCCGAAACUGCUUGGCUUGAGUACCGGAGAGGAUGGCGGAAUUCCCCAAGUAGAGGUGAAAUUCGUAGAUAUGGGGAGGAACACCGGUGGCGAAGGCGGCCAUCUGGACGGAUACUGACGCUGAGACGCGAAAGCGUGGGUAGCAAACAGG